rnacentral:rRNA from 1 species
ACAGAGAGCUUGCUCUCGGGUGACGAGCGGCGGACGGGUGAGUAAUGUCUGGGAAACUGCCUGAUGGAGGGGGAUAACUACUGGAAACGGUAGCUAAUACCGCAUAAUGUCGCAAGACCAAAGUGGGGGACCUUCGGGCCUCAUGCCAUCAGAUGUGCCCAGAUGGGAUUAGCUAGUAGGUGGGGUAACGGCUCACCUAGGCGACGAUCCCUAGCUGGUCUGAGAGGAUGACCAGCCACACUGGAACUGAGACACGGUCCAGACUCCUACGGGAGGCAGCAGUGGGGAAUAUUGCACAAUGGGCGCAAGCCUGAUGCAGCCAUGCCGCGUGUGUGAAGAAGGCCUUCGGGUUGUAAAGCACUUUCAGCGGGGAGGAAGGCGGUGAGGUUAAUAACCUCAUCGAUUGACGUUACCCGCAGAAGAAGCACCGGCUAACUCCGUGCCAGCAGCCGCGGUAAUACGGAGGGUGCAAGCGUUAAUCGGAAUUACUGGGCGUAAAGCGCACGCAGGCGGUCUGUCAAGUCGGAUGUGAAAUCCCCGGGCUCAACCUGGGAACUGCAUUCGAAACUGGCAGGCUAGAGUCUUGUAGAGGGGGGUAGAAUUCCAGGUGUAGCGGUGAAAUGCGUAGAGAUCUGGAGGAAUACCGGUGGCGAAGGCGGCCCCCUGGACAAAGACUGACGCUCAGGUGCGAAAGCGUGGGGAGCAAACAGGAUUAGAUACCCUGGUAGUCCACGCCGUAAACGAUGUCGAUUUGGAGGUUGUGCCCUUGAGGCGUGGCUUCCGGAGCUAACGCGUUAAAUCGACCGCCUGGGGAGUACGGCCGCAAGGUUAAAACUCAAAUGAAUUGACGGGGGCCCGCACAAGCGGUGGAGCAUGUGGUUUAAUUCGAUGCAACGCGAAGAACCUUACCUGGUCUUGACAUCCACAGAACUUUCCAGAGAUGGAUUGGUGCCUUCGGGAACUGUGAGACAGGUGCUGCAUGGCUGUCGUCAGCUCGUGUUGUGAAAUGUUGGGUUAAGUCCCGCAACGAGCGCAACCCUUAUCCUUUGUUGCCAGCGGUCCGGCCGGGAACUCAAAGGAGACUGCCAGUGAUAAACUGGAGGAAGGUGGGGAUGACGUCAAGUCAUCAUGGCCCUUACGACCAGGGCUACACACGUGCUACAAUGGCAUAUACAAAGAGAAGCGACCUCGCGAGAGCAAGCGGACCUCAUAAAGUAUGUCGUAGUCCGGAUUGGAGUCUGCAACUCGACUCCAUGAAGUCGGAAUCGCUAGUAAUCGUAGAUCAGAAUGCUACGGUGAAUACGUUCCCGGGCCUUGUACACACCGCCCGUCACACCAUGGGAGUGGGUUGCAAAAGAAGU